GAUGAACGCUGACAGAAUGCUUAACACAUGCAAGUCUUUGGCGAAGCUGUGCUUGCACAGCCUAGCCAAGGCGGACGGGUGAGUAACGCGUAAGGAACUUGCCCUGCAGUCAGGGAUAACAGACGGAAACGACUGAUAAGACCUGGUAAAGUCAGGCGGACUCAUGUCCAGCCUGAUGAAAAGAGAUGCUGCAGGAGAGCCUUGCGUCCUAUUAGCUUGUUGGUGGGGUAACGGCCCACCAAGGCGAUGAUAGGUAGCCGGCCUGAGAGGGUGGACGGCCACAAGGGGACUGAGAUACGGCCCUUACUCCUACGGGAGGCAGCAGUGGGGAAUAUUGGACAAUGGGGCAACCCUGAUCCAGCAAUUCUGUGUGCACGAUGAAGGUUUUCGGAUUGUAAAGUGCUUUCAGCAGGGAAGAAAAAAUGACGGUACCUGCAGAAGAAGCGACGGCUAAAUACGUG
rnacentral:rRNA from 1 species